rnacentral:tRNA from 1 species
GGGUAUAGCUCAGCGGUAGAGUGCGUGCUUUGCAGGCACAAGGUCUUGGGUUCAAUCCCCAAUAUGUCCA